AUACAGAGGGUGCGGGCGUUAAUCGGAAUUACUGGGCGUAAAGCGCGCGUAGGCGGCUUAUUAAGUCAGAUGUGAAAUCCCCGGGCUCAACCUGGGAACUGCAUCUGAUACUGGUAAGCUAGAGUUUUGGAGAGGGAAGUAGAAUUUCAGGUGUAGCGGUGAAAUGCAUAGAGAUCUGAAGGAAUACCAGUGGCGAAGGCGACUUCCUGGCCAAAAACUGACGCUGAGGUGCGAAAGCGUGGGUAGCAAACGGGAUUAGAAACCCUAGUAGUCC
rnacentral:rRNA from 1 species